rnacentral:sRNA from 1 species
CUUUAGACUUUCCAUGUAAAAACUCUUCAUGUAAAAAUGUGUGCAGAUACACAAGGAGAUUAAAGUUGCCACGGUGUGAUGAAUGCCUGGCGUCCUGUGUCGUGAGUGGUGCGUUGGCUCUGUUGCCGCAGGGCAGCCGAUGUGUGCUGCCUGCGAGGCCGCCCUGUGUGGAGACGCUGAGCUGUGUCGCUUUCUCCCCUCCAGGCUGGACGGCAGUCUGGAAACGACCAAUGAGAUCCUGGACUCUGCCUCUCACGACUGCCCCUUAGUCACUCAGACAUACGGCGCAGCUGCAGCAAAAGGUACUUACGUGCCUUCAUCCCCAACGAGACUUGGCUACACAGACGACCUGGGUGCUGUGGGUGGCGCCUGCCUGGAGGAUGAGGCCAGUGCCCUGCGCCUGGAUGAGGACAGCGAGCACCCACCCAUGAUUCUUCGGACUGACUGAACUUGACCUGUGACCCUGACCCGGGGAGCAGAGAACACUGGCUUCACAGAAGACUUUGUGCAUUGCUGCUAUGAACUUUGACCUGAGUCGGGGGAGAGGAUGGCAGAGACUUUAUUAAAAAAAAAAAAAGAUUGUAGUGGUAGUCUAACUCCAUAACGCUGAGGAAAUACGUCAUUUUCACCUCAAUGGCUUUUAAAUCCUGCUUAUGAAUUUUAGCUUUUUGUUUGUUUGUUUUCUCUUUUUGCCAAAAUUAACUGGUGAAGCCCGCAAAACCUCCUCGCUUUGCAUGCAUGAACGUGCCAAGCCAGCAUAGGGGAGCUAGAAGCCACUCUCCAGCCACCUGCCAUUGGGUUUUUUAAUAUCUGUACAUAAUGC